GAGCGGAACGAGUUAUCUGAACCUUCGGGGGACGAUAACGGCGUCGAGCGGCGGACGGGUGAGUAAUGCCUAGGAAAUUGCCCUGAUGUGGGGGAUAACCAUUGGAAACGAUGGCUAAUACCGCAUGAUGCCUACGGGCCAAAGAGGGGGACCUUCGGGCCUCUCGCGUCAGGAUAUGCCUAGGUGGGAUUAGCUAGUUGGUGAGGUAAGGGCUCACCAAGGCGACGAUCCCUAGCUGGUCUGAGAGGAUGAUCAGCCACACUGGAACUGAGACACGGUCCAGACUCCUACGGGAGGCAGCAGUGGGGAAUAUUGCACAAUGGGCGCAAGCCUGAUGCAGCCAUGCCGCGUGUGUGAAGAAGGCCUUCGGGUUGUAAAGCACUUUCAGUCGUGAGGAAGGUGGUGUAGUUAAUAGCUGCAUUAUUUGACGUUAGCGACAGAAGAAGCACCGGCUAACUCCGUGCCAGCAGCCGCGGUAAUACGGAGGGUGCGAGCGUUAAUCGGAAUUACUGGGCGUAAAGCGCAUGCAGGUGGUUUGUUAAGUCAGAUGUGAAAGCCCGGGGCUCAACCUCGGAAUAGCAUUUGAAACUGGCAGACUAGAGUACUGUAGAGGGGGGG
rnacentral:rRNA from 1 species